GGUCGGCUGGCCUAAUGGUAAGGCUUCCGUUUCCGGUUACUGGUUGACUAGACUACGGAAGAUUGCAGGUUCGAGUCCUGCGUCGAUCG